rnacentral:rRNA from 1 species
AUGAACGCUGGCGGCGUGCCUAAUACAUGCAAGUCGAGCGAACAGACGAGGAGCUUGCUCCUCUGACGUUAGCGGCGGACGGGUGAGUAACACGUGGAUAACCUACCUAUAAGACUGGGAUAACUUCGGGAAACCGGAGCUAAUACCGGAUAAUAUAUUGAACCGCAUGGUUCAAUAGUGAAAGACGGUUUUGCUGUCACUUAUAGAUGGAUCCGCGCCGCAUUAGCUAGUUGGUAAGGUAACGGCUUACCAAGGCAACGAUGCGUAGCCGACCUGAGAGGGUGAUCGGCCACACUGGAACUGAGACACGGUCCAGACUCCUACGGGAGGCAGCAGUAGGGAAUCUUCCGCAAUGGGCGAAAGCCUGACGGAGCAACGCCGCGUGAGUGAUGAAGGUCUUCGGAUCGUAAAACUCUGUUAUUAGGGAAGAACGAAUGUGUAAGUAACUAUGCACGUCUUGACGGUACCUAAUCAGAAAGCCACGGCUAACUACGUG